rnacentral:rRNA from 1 species
ACGCUGGCGGCGUGCCUAACACAUGCAAGUCGAACGAAGAUAAGCGCUGAAUUGACGAUAGCUUGCUAUAAGAUUUUCUUGCUUANCUUAGUGGCGGACGGGCGAGUAACGCGUGAGCAACCUGCCUCUCAGUGGGGGAAUAACGUUUGGAAACGAACGCUAAUACCGCAUAACGUAGCGAAGUCGCAUGGCUUUGUUACCAAAGGAUUUAUUCGCUGAGAGAUGGGCUCGCGUCCGAUUAGCUAGUUGUGGGGUAACGGCCUACCAAGGCGACGAUCGGUAGCCGAACUGAGAGGUUGAUCGGCCGCAUUGGGACUGAGACACGGCCCAGACUCCUACGGGAGGCAGCAGUGGGGGAUAUUGCACAAUGGGGGAAACCCUGAUGCAGCAACGCCGCGUGAGGGAAGAAGGUCUUCGGAUUGUAAACCUAAGUUGUCAGGGACGAACAAAUGACGGUACCUGAAGAGAAAGCUCCGGCUAACUACGUG